ACAUGAAUUAUCAUAUAUAGCAUUACUGAUGGAUGUUAAGAAUCUUGGUGAAGGAAGAUCUGGAGAUCGAUCGAGUUAAAUUCUAGUGUAUUGGCUCAAUGACUUCUAAACCAUUGAAUUUGAAGUAAAUCUUUUGGAAAGAAGAUCAACGUAGAUUGUUUAAUCGAAUUGCUGAGGAAAUCCACGGUUAACUUAUUUUAAAUUAAACCUAGAUAUUUUGAAUUCUAAAAUGGUUGUGAAGAUCAUGUAGUGACC
rnacentral:lncRNA from 1 species